GAGGGUGUAGCUCAGUGGUAGAGCACAUGCCUAGCAUACACAAGGUCCUGGGUUCAAUCCCCAGUGCCUCCA
rnacentral:tRNA from 1 species